CUCUAGCGAGCUCGGCGGCGGAGCCCGAGGCCUCGGCGGCCCUUCGGACGCUGUCCGGAAAGUCGCGACCGCCUCCGCCUCCCGGGCUCGCGAGCGCCCAGGUUCGGCCAUUUCCGGCCCGGCGCACUUCGGCAAGUUCCGCAGUCGCUUGUCGGAAAUGGCUGCCCGCCGGCAGGGGGAGCGGAGGAUCCGGCGCGGCCUGGAAGGCGGGCAGCAGGCGGCGAGAGCGGCUCUUGGGUACCCGAGUUUCGCGCAGGCGGCGGCGGCUCGUCCCUGAACUGGAAGCCGGUCGGCCUCCCGGCGACGGUAGCGGCGGCGGCUGGAGCUCCGAGCAGCCGGGGGCGGCGGCCCGGAAGCGCCUGUGGAGAGCAAGCCCUGGACCUGGAGUUCGCUAUUUCAAGAAAUUAUAUACUGAAGUAAAAUGCUGCAUGAGUUAGAAAAAGGAAGGAUCUGGAAACAUACGGCCUGAUUGUUGGCAAUGACAUCGAUAAGAGGCUGGCAUUUCUUUCUGUUCUAACCAGCUACUUUAUGACUGUGAAUAGUAAAUAUGCGUAUUUGUUGGUCAGCAAAACCAAGGAACAAGAGCUAUGGCAGUUGAAAAAGUCUGUCUGAUUCCAGGUUAUUUUUCCUGGGUUUCGUCAUCAGGGACCUUUUCCUUUUCAUCUCAUCAACAAUGUGGUACCUUUUACCAUUUGAUAAAGAGUAAGGACAUGUCCAUUGGUCAACAACCAGAACUUAAAAUCUGCUGGAAUAAGGUCAGAGACCAUUUCAAUUACAGCUGAGGAAAAUGAAAUUUCCAUUUUAUUCCGUGCCUUGUACAGGGAGCACACUAACUCUUAGCAGGAAGGUGUGAGUGAAAAGAGAUUGAGUUUGUCUAAUAGAAACUCAUGGUUAUGGCGAGUGACCCAACGUGAUUAGAGGGGG
rnacentral:lncRNA from 1 species